UGCUGGUCCGAUGGUAGUGGGUUAUCAGGAUUUAUUAACAUUAGUGUCACUAAAGUUAGUAUACAACCCCUCAUUGCUAAAUUUGACUAUCUUAA
rnacentral:Y_RNA from 1 species